rnacentral:rRNA from 1 species
GAUGAACGCUGGCGGCGUGCCUAGUACAUGCAAGUCGAGCGAACGGACGAGAAGCUUGCUUCUCUGAUGUUAGCGGCGGACGGGUGAGUAACACGUGGAUAACCUACCUAUAAGACUGGGAUAACUUCGGGAAACCGGAGCUAAUACCGGAUAAUAUUUUGAACCGCAUGGUUCAAAAGUGAAAGACGGUCUUGCUGUCACUUAUAGAUGGAUCCGCGCUGCAUUAGCUAGUUGGUAAGGUAACGGCUUACCAAGGCAACGAUGCAUAGCCGACCUGAGAGGGUGAUCGGCCACACUGGAACUGAGACACGGUCCAGACUCCUACGGGAGGCAGCAGUAGGGAAUCUUCCGCAAUGGGCGAAAGCCUGACGGAGCAACGCCGCGUGAGUGAUGAAGGUAUUCGGAUCGUAAAACUCUGUUAUUAGGGAAGAACAUAUGUGUAAGUAACUGUGCACAUCUUGACGGUACCUAAUCAGAAAGCCACGGCUAAUUACGUG